rnacentral:lncRNA from 1 species
UUUAUUACUAUUAGUCAUGUGCUGAUGUUUAGAUCCAUUCUUACCGAGGAUUGGUUAUUUGUUUUCUUCUUUUACAGUUUCACUUUUUGGGCUAUGAGAGUAUUUGUUAUUUGUUUAACUUAUAUUGAUUAUACAGGACAUAGAGGAUUAAUAAGAUUAUUUUUUUUGUUCUUCAUUUGUAUGUACAUACUUUUUGUGUCCGUGAUAUUUUUAAUUCUUAUUCUUGGUUGUAGUUAUAGAAUUUAAUUUUGAUUUAGUUCUAAAAUUAUUUUUUAUAAACUUAGCCAAUAAUUUAUAUGUAUGUAUUCAAAAGAAUCAAUAUUUUUGUCCCUUCAAAUAGAAAAGUGUG